rnacentral:misc_RNA from 1 species
UGAACUUGCAAUACAAGGUUUGUUAUGCAAGGAUAUUAGAUCUGAAGAGGAAAUUUUUGGAGGCUGCACUCCGUUAUUAUGACAUUUCCCAGAUUGAGAAACGUCAAAUCGGAGACGAGGAGAUUGAUGAAGAUGCACUGGAACAAGCUCUUAGCGCUGCUGUGACCUGCACAAUAUUGGCUGCUGCUGGUCCACAACGCUCUCGGGUUCUUGCUACCUUGUAUAAGGAUGAA